CCUACGGGGUGCAGCAGUGGGGGAUAUUGCACAAUGGGGGAAACCCUGAUGCAGCGACGCCGCGUGGGCGAAGAAGUAUUUCGGUAUGUAAAGCCCUAUCAGCAGGGAAGUAGAAAUGACGGUACCUGAGCAAGAAGCACCGGCUAAAUACGUGCCAGCAGCCGCGGUAAUACGUAUGGUGCAAGCGUUAUCCGGAUUUAAUGGGUGUAAAGGGAGCGUAGGCGGCACGGCAAGCCUGAUGUGAAAGCCCGGGGCGUAACCGAGGGACUGCAUUGAGCACUACCGAGCUAGAGUGCAGGAGAGGUAGGCGGAAUGCCUAGUGUAGCGGUGAAAUGCGUAGAUAUUA
rnacentral:rRNA from 1 species